rnacentral:rRNA from 1 species
GAUGAACGCUGGCGGCGUGCUUAACACAUGCAAGUCGAACGGAGUGCCUUUGAAAGAGGAUUCGUCCAAUUGAUAAGGUUACUUAGUGGCGGACGGGUGAGUAACGCGUGAGGAACCUGCCUUGGAGUGGGGAAUAACACAGUGAAAAUUGUGCUAAUACCGCAUAAUGCAGUUGGGUCGCAUGACUCUGACUGCCAAAGAUUUAUCGCUCUGAGAUGGCCUCGCGUCUGAUUAGCUAGUUGGUGGGGUAACGGCCCACCAAGGCGACGAUCAGUAGCCGGACUGAGAGGUUGGCCGGCCACAUUGGGACUGAGACACGGCCCAGACUCCUACGGGAGGCAGCAGUGGGGAAUAUUGGGCAAUGGGCGCAAGCCUGACCCAGCAACGCCGCGUGAAGG